rnacentral:lncRNA from 1 species
GGGACCAAAAAAAAUAUAAGAUCACUUGUGCCGCUCUCUCCUUCAUCCUCCCUGACCAUGGAAUGGCCACUAGUAGAGAAAAUCUGGUGAAGAAAGGCUGACAACGGUGCUUAAGAGAAAGUGGAGGAGUAGAAGAGGAUUUGCAAGCAACGACGGCGAUGGGCAGGUGAGAAAGGAUUAGAGUUAAAAGAAAAAAAAAAGGUGCAUAACAGUUCUAUAGGUUUUUGGUGCAUA